GACGAACGCUGGCGGCGUGCUUAACACAUGCAAGUCGAGCGAUGAAGCACCUUCGGGUGUGAAUUAGCGGCGAACGGGUGAGGAACACGUGAAGAAUCUGCCUUCAACUCUGGGAUAACUCCGGGAAACCGGGGCUAAUACCGGAUAUGAGCCUUGAUCGCAUGAUCGGGGCUGGAAAGUUUUUCGGUUGAAGAUGACUUCGCGGCCUAUCAGCUUGUUGGUGAGGUAAUGGCUCACCAAGGCGACGACGGGUAGCCGGCCUGAGAGGGCGACCGGCCACACUGGGACUGAGACACGGCCCAGACUCCUACGGGAGGCAGCAGUGGGGAAUAUUGGGCAAUGGAGGAAACUCUGACCCAGCGACGCCGCGUGAGGGAUGAAGGCCUUCGGGUUGUAAACCUCUUUCAGUAGGGAAGAAGCGAAAGUGACGGUACCUACAGAAGAAGCACCGGCUAACUAUGUGCCAGCAGCCGCGGUAAUACAUAGGGUGCAAGCGUUGUCCGGAAUUAUUGGGCGUAAAGAGCUCGUAGGUGGUUCGAUACGUCGGAUGUGAAAAUCAGGGGCUCAACCCCUGACCUGCAUCCGAUACGGUCGAGCUAGAGUUUGGUAGGGGAGACUGGAAUUCCUGGUGUAGCGGUGGAAUGCGCAGAUAUCAGGAGGAACACCGAUGGCGAAGGCAGG
rnacentral:rRNA from 1 species